AUAAAUUUUAUUCUUGUUUUUAAAAAGAAAAUAGUACACUAAUAUUUUGGAGCUGGGAUAAUUUUUACAGAUUAUAUAUGUUCUUCCUCCUUACAGAGUUAAUACAUAUUCAUGGGGAAAAACACAAAAAUGAAAAUCUAUCACUGUAAACUCUCCCACCUAGAGAUAAACACAACAUUUUGAUAAAUGUUCUUCCACAAACUUUGAAGCAAUCGUUUUUUUUUUUUACUUUUCUUAGGCAGAUUUGAAAAUGAGCCAUUAUGGAAAAUAUUUGAGCCUCAUUGUACAGAGGACAUUUGGACUGUGGGAAGAGGCCACAGACAUUUAGCUAUUGCUCUGAUAACAGUGGUUUUGAACAUACUGACUCAUGGAUACUUCUGAAAAUCUCAGAAACAGAUUGGACCCUCUCUAGAGAAGUAUACAUAUGCACAAAAUUUCUUGGCUUUGAGGACCUUUUGAAGCUCAGCCAUAGACAUCUCUCCAAGAGGUUCCUGUCCCCAAAGCUAAGAUUCCCUGCUUAGUAGGGCUGUUAAAAUUGAGAAUGAGUGCUUAUUUCUAACUAGGUAGGUAUUAACCUAUGGAUAUUUGGUGAUAUAUUUUCUUACUCUGAAUAAGAACAUCAGCCAUAACCUGAAGCACCAGGUUAUAUUAAUUUAUUUUCAUAAAUUAUCUUUGAAUAACAGCAUUAUCAAUUAGAUUUAACAAAUUCCUAUUUACAGAGAAUUGCCACUAGGAGAAAAUUUGUAUAAUUAGAUGAUUUUUCAGUGUUCUAAUGGCCAAAUCUUAGUUUUCAGACUGAAAUCUGUAGUUAAUAUCGUACAGCGUUACGGUUAAUAUCCCUGUAUUUAGAAAAUCGAAGGAGGGAUGAGGACAGUUGCCAGUGAACAUAUUUAAACCAGAGCAUUCUUCAAAGAAGUGAUUUUUCAGAGUAUCUGUGAUGGGCUUAGUAUAGAAUGUUUAGUCUCUUGUGCUUUCUUUAUCUGUGAUAUUCUACAUUGUGAUCUGAUUUUUAUGGUCGUGAUCCUGAGUGUGCUCAAACAUGUAUAUUAUCAUCAUUUUUAUUCUGUGAAAAUUAGUAAUUGGUGCAUUUUACAUAACUUGUUUAGCAGAAUACUUUUUGAUUAGAAGACUCUGUAAGGCAUAGGUAUUAACAUUAUUUCCAUUUUUUUAGAUAUUUGAAGGUCUAAGAGAAAUUAAGUAAUUUGCAAUUGUUAGAAUAAAUCUAGGUUUCUUUCAAUCAAGAGUCUAAAUGUUAUGGUACACUGUACUAUUUUUUAUUAUUACUGUUUUAAUUCUUUUUAAUUUUGGAAAAAAUUCAACAGAUGUGAAAUAUUAUUUUCUAUACACGUGUACUUUCGUUUGGCUGGAUCAUUUGAGUUUCACAUUUCAUUUAUAAUAAUACUUAAUCUCUAAAUACUUAAAUUUGAAUCUCCUAAGAAUAAAGACAUUUUCUAAGUAAUCACAACACGCUGUGCAAGAAAUUUUACUGUAAUAUACUUUUAUCUAAUAUACAGUCCACACUUAUAUUUACUAGUUGUCUCAACAUUCACUUCAGUAGUAGCUAUCCCCUGCACCUCUGCUCUUCAGGAUUCAGCCAAGAUCACACAUUACAUUUAUUUGUCCAGUUACCCAGCCUUUUUGUUUUUUUUGUCAUUGAUAUUUUUGAAGAGUUCAGACUAACUGUUUUGCAUACUGUAUUAUUUUAAAACUGCAUUUAGUACAUAUAUAAAUUGAAAUUUGAGCUGUUUUGAAAUCAGAUUUAAAUAAAGUGUUUAAUAUUGAGGUGUAA